GCGGGGGUGGCCGAGCCAGGCCAAGCGAGGUUGGGCUAGAGGCGCGGGGCUUAAGACCCCGUCCCCGUAGGGGGUUCGUGGGUUCAAAUCCCACCCCCCGCACCA
rnacentral:tRNA from 1 species